rnacentral:rRNA from 1 species
UACGUAGGGGGCAAGCGUUGUCCGGAAUCAUUGGGCGUAAAGCGCGUGUAGGCGGGUCGGUAAGUCCGCUCUGAAAGCCCGGGGCUCAACCCCGGGAGGCGGGUGGAUACUGUCGACCUCGAGUCCGGAAGAGGCGAGUGGAAUUCCUGGUGUAGCGGUGAAAUGCGCAGAUAUCAGGAGGAACACCGGUGGCGAAGGCGGGUCUCUGGGCCGUUACUGACGCUGAGGAGCGAAAGCGUGGGGAGCGAACAGG